UACGUAGGGUGCGAGCGUUAAUCGGAAUUACUGGGCGUAAAGCGUGCGCAGGCGGUUAUUUAAGUCAGGGGUGAAAGCCCUGGGCUUAACCUAGGAAUUGCGCUUGAGACUGGAUAGCUUGGAGUGCGGCAGAGGGAGGUGGAAUUCCACGUGUAGCAGUGAAAUGCGUAGAGAUGUGGAGGAACACCGAUGGCGAAGGCAGCCUCCUGGGCCAGCACUGACGCUGAGGAGCGAAAGCGUGGGGAGCAAACAGG
rnacentral:rRNA from 1 species